rnacentral:tRNA from 1 species
GCGGGUAUCGUACAAUGGUAGUACGGCGCCUUGCCAUGGCGCAGACAGGGGUUCGAUUCCCCUUACCCGCUCCA